rnacentral:piRNA from 1 species
UACCAUGUGUGUCCUUUGUGAUUGGUU